AAAAAAUGUCGGUGGGGGUUGGGGGGUUUCAUUUUCUCUAUCAAGGUUAGACGAAUUUUACCCUUGACAAGGCGCACAAAUUUACUGUUGAGGAAAAAACAAAGAAGAAGACGAAGAAUUACUGCUACACCUGAGAACAGAAACCGAGCUAGAAAUGGCAGGUUUAUUGGCAUGGGCAGCAGAUGUAGUAGGAGGUGGGCAAAGCAAUGAAGAAGAUGACAACCCAAAUUCAAUCCCUUUAAUUUUCACUCCACAGCAAUAAUCUUACUUAAUAGAUUUGGAUCGAAAAGCCACUUCUCUUACUCGUACGAUCUACGGCUUAGACUCCCUCCUCCUGACAUCUCAGAGCGUCUUCCUCAUCUACAUGCUCAUUCCCUCGCCUCUAAUAACGCUCUUGCUCUUCAGCUUAAUGCCCACUUCGCCACCAAAGAACAGGCACAAUUAAGAGAAAUUACUCUGCAAGAAGAAAAUGCCGAGUAUGACAAGGCUAUCUCAGAUUAUGAGAAUAAGAUUCAGGCGAAGUCACAGGAAGCUGACCUUCUACGGAGCAAAUUGCAGGUUAGACAUAAUUCACAACUUUCUCGAGGGGAUCAUUAUAUACAACAACAACAUACCCAGGGAAUUUCCACAAGUCAGGUCUGGCGAAGUUAUAGUCCGCGCAGACCUUUACCACUACCCUGUGGAGGUAGAGAGGCUGUUUUCGAAAGUCCCUCGACUCAAGUGGGAGGGGAUUCUUUCAUGAUUUACAAAAAAUUUAGGACAUUGUCUGACAAAAACCCUAACGCAGAGUUAGAACAAGCACAGGCUGCAGCAGCCGGUGAGUCUGCGCAAUCAAAUGACUAUCUGAUUAAAAACGAUAGUGAAGCUCAAGAAGAUGAGGAAUCUGCAAAUUCUGCGUUGCUGCGGAAAUUAGAGGAGAAGAAGAAGGAACUGACAUUUUUGGAAGAAUCUGUGCAUGACCUGGAGAAAAAAUGGACAGAAGUGCAAGAUUAUGCACUCAAGCAUCCUUGCCCAGGUACCCAACGACUAACAUAUAUUUGCUAAUUUUGUGUGGUCAGACCUUAUAAUAUAUUUUGGUGUCUUAAAAUUUCUUUUCCUUGCUAAUCAAGAGACCGAUUUCUUUCACAUGUUUUCUUUUCGGCGCCUUAGAUGCAUCACAUUUCAUUCUGAACAGACGCGAACCCAGAAUUUGAAGUCUGUGGGUGCACCAGUGUUGUGAGUGCAUCAAUGUUGUCAAAAACGCGCAUAAGCCUCAAGACUCAAAAUGUGUUGAGCUCUCGCCUUACUUAAUGUGCAGCUUAGGUUCUAAUUUUUUAUACAU